CUGAAGCUUUCAGCGAACAUGUACUGUUUACUUCCGCUAACGAAGUUAACCGAGAACGGCUAACGUUACGUUAGCUUUAUUGAACUACCAAGGCGGGAAUGUCGCUAAAACAAUGAUGUGCUUGUUUUUCCUCUUUUUUCAACAUACAGCGGUUCGUAAACUUUUCUGUUUUAAACGCAUGUAUCGUUUUGCUUUGGGCAAUUUUCCAAGCAUAAUCGCUAGUCAAAUGUAAAGCACCAGGGCCCAGUGUGCAGGCUAGCUUGCUGGCUAUAGCCACCUCUAUGAAUUAUAUAUUGAAGGAUGCUCUAGCAAAGGCGGUGGAGUGGGUGGUAACGUUACCCCCCUCCCCGCCAACCCAAGGCCAUAUAAAACAGGGAUUGCUGUGUUUGGGAACAACUUCACGUGCGGUAAGUCGCUAUUAGUGAGUGAUUUUUUUCCUCUCCCAUCUGUCACGGGUGUCCGUUGCAAUCUUGUUUAGGAUGGGGUGAAUGUUGAUUACAUUCGUUUUGGAACAGGGAUGCAUUCCGUUCUUCUGCCAGAUGCCCCUUAUGUGGCGGUCUGACGAAGUCGGCUCCAAACAAAAAUGACGUAAUAAACACGUGGAGUAAUAGGUAAAAUCGGUGCAUUCAAGAAGCCUCUGAUACAGAUGGUGAGAAGGAAGCCCCAUCAGUCAGCCAACCCACCUACACUACAUAGGAACCCUGGCUUCAUCAGUCUACAUGUAUGUUUUUAGUCUUGUGUAUGUCAGUACCUACAGUAUGAUGUUCCACCCCUAUUUUAAUCAGGUCUUUGUUCCGCAAGUCCCCGCUAGACCUUGGCCCCAGCAGAUGUCAACACCACAAGCCAUUUUAAGAAGCCACCAGACACACCAGGGAGAAAUGUGGAGGGUGUGGACAUCCUUUGCCAAGGAUGGACGCCUUCCUUUUCUCUCCUCCUCUGUCAUGAUAAUCGGAGGCCUCCUUCCACAGUUUUAACCCUUAAGUGAACAUUUACUUUUAAAUAUAAGAAAACAUUAACUAAACAUUUUACUGUUUAGAAUGAAAAGAUAUGUCCAGUGUGGGGCUCAAAUUCUUAUUUCAGUAAUAUUCAAAUUCAAGAACAUUUUGCUAAUAAA
ensembl:lncRNA